GAAGGUCCAUCUUCUUCCUUCUUCUCCCUUUCAGCCAACCUUCUGUCUUCCUGCGAGCUAGCACUCCUCGGGAAGCUGAUCAUUCCGGAGCUUCGCGUGGACGAGUCAUCGAGGCCGGACGCUUGUGCGGCUGCGAAGCAUCCUUGAAGGAACCUCCUUCUAAAGGGCCAGUGUUCGUAAUCGAUAUAGAUUCCUGCUCGUAUAUGAAGGAGAUUAGGAGCAUUGCGUGACAUCCAGAAUCAUGCAUGCAUGGAGCCCAAUCAAGGGCGUGCAUGAAGCCCAACCAGGGGUGUGCAUGAAGCUAGCAUGGAGACCAAUCAGGGGCGUGUGUGAAGCCCAACCAGGAGCAUACGUGAGCCUAAUCUCGCGGCAUGCAUGAAGCCAUAUUGAGUCCAGAAUUUUGCUGCCAUGAAGUUAGAAGAGUCCUCUUUGUUUUGUUUUGUUUGUUUGACUCAUUCCAAGUCGGAAAUUAAGAUCAAAGGUUUGAAUUGUUACUAAGUCCUUUGUUGACCCAUUCCAAGUCGGAAAUUAAGAUGAAUGGGAACUAGGGGGCAUACGUGAACCUACCCAGGGCAUAUGCAAGCCAACUCUUAAGAGUUACGAGAGUCCUUCUGUUUUACUUUGUUUGUUUAACUCAUUCAAAGUGAGUGUUAGCAAGUUCUUGUUUGAAGGAGUUUGAUUUAUUUCAAACUUUUUAUCUCCAGCAGAUAAGAGCCGGUUAUUUUUGUUUGUUUCCAACCUCCUACUCUAUAAAAGGAGGGAUGAUGAAUAAAUCGGCAUAUUAGAGUUGAAAA